rnacentral:rRNA from 1 species
AAUCAACGCUGGCGGCGUGCCUCAGACAUGCAAGUCGAACGCGAAAGUUUCCUUCGGGAGACAAGUAGAGUGGCGCACGGGUGAGUAACACGUAGGUAAUCUACCUUUGGAUGGGGAAUAACAACCGGAAACGGUUGCUAAUACCGCAUAAUGCAGCGGCACCUAAUGGUGACAGUUGUUAAAGCGGGGGAUCGAAAGACCUCGCGUCUGAAGAGGAGCCUGCGGCGGAUUAGCAGUUGGUAAGGUAAUGGCUUACCAAGGCUACGAUCCGUAACCGGCCUGAGAGGGCGGUCGGUCACACUGACACUGACAUACGGGUCAGACUCCUACGGGAGGCAGCAGUGGGGAAUAUUGGACAAUGGGGGCAACCCUGAUCCAGCGACGCCGCGUGGGUGAAGAAGGCCUGCGGGUUGUAAAGCCCGUUUCGGUGGGGAAGAAAGUCUCGACCUAAUACGUCGGGACCUUGACCGUAACCCACUAAAGAAGCACCGGCUAACUCUGUGCCAGCA